GAUGAACGCUGGCGGCGUGCCUAAUACAUGCAAGUCGAGCGAACAGACGAGGAGCUUGCUCCUCUGACGUUAGCGGCGGACGGGUGAGUAACACGUGGAUAACCUACCUAUAAGACUGGGAUAACUUCGGGAAACCGGAGCUAAUACCGGAUAAUCUAUUGAACCGCAUGGUUCAAUAGUGAAAUACGGUUUUGCUGUCACUUAUAGAUGGAUCCGCGCCGCAUUAGCUAGUUGGUAAGGUAACGGCUUACCAAGGCAACGAUGCGUAGCCGACCUGAGAGGGUGAUCGGCCACACUGGAAGUGAGACACGGUCCAGACUCCUACGGGAGGCAGCAGUAGGGAAUCUUACGCAAUAGGCGAAAGCCUGACGGAGCAACGCCGCGUGAGUGAUGAAGGUCUUCGGAUCGUAAAACUCUGUUAUUAGGGAAGAACAAAUUUGUAAGUAACUAUGCACGUCUUGACGGUACCUAAUCAGAAAGCCACGGCUAACUACGUG
rnacentral:rRNA from 1 species